AUUGAACGCUGGCGGCAGGCCUAACACAUGCAAGUCGAACGAGUGGCGGACGGGUGAGUAAUGUCUGGGCAACUGCCUGAUGGAGGGGGAUAACUACUGGAAACUGUAGCUAAUACCGUAUACCCUCAGCUGUGCACAUAUGUGAUUAGCUCGUGGGUGGGGUAACGGCUCACCAAGGCGACGAUCCCUAGCUGGUCUGAGAGGAUGACCAGACACACUGGAACUGAGACACGGUCCAGACUCCUACGGGAGGCAGCAGUGGGGAAUAUUGCACAAUGGGCGCAAGCCUGAUGCAGCCAUGCCGCGUGUAUGAAGAAGGCCUUCGGGUUGUAAAGUACUUUCAGCGGGGAGGCGUUACCCGCAGAAGAAGCACCGGCUAACUCCGUGCCAGCAGCCGCGGUAAUUC
rnacentral:rRNA from 1 species